AACACCUGUCUUCCUUUUUGGCUUGUCAGAGGCUGGGUCGUAGCACUUCCUGGCAUUCCCCCAGUUCCGUCCCGGCGUGGUGGUAGAGGCCGUUGAGGGUGUGCUAUGCUCCACGGGUUGCUCGCUGUGGGUCGUUUCUGUGUGGCGUCUGUUCCUCUCUUCCAUGCUGUGUUGUCCAGGACUUCCUGAUUGGGGGAAGUAUAACCCAGCUGCUGCGCAGUGUCGGCCGAUCAGCAAGGGAAAUCACUGCUGCUUUGCUUCGUACCGGAGAUCGUUGGUUGUAACCGCUACUAACUGCUUUGCCUCCUACCGGAAAUUGUUUGGCUGCAACAGCGACUAACGGCUUUGCCUCAUACCGGAGAUUGUUUGGCUGUAACCGCUACUAACUGCUUUGCCUCACACCGGAGAUCGUUGGCUGUAACAGCGACUAACUGCUCUGGCUCAUACCGGAGAUCGUUGGCUGUAACAGCGACUAACUGCUCUGCUUCAUACCGGAGAUCGUUGUUGGUGACAGAGAUUGACCACUUUGACAGUAGCUGAGGUGAACAUGGGUGCCGUGGUGCUCUGGUAUCCAGGUAUGUGUUUUGUCUGUUCUGUCUGUGCGCCAAGGUACGUUGCAGUCAUAGCGGCUGUGAUUAGUUUUGCAGCGUGCGUUGUGGCGGUGGGGCUGUCGUGUCCUGUUGCCUGGGUCCGGUAGGUUGUUGCAAUAUUGUGCUAGCUGGAUCUCUCUGUGGUGACGCUGUUUUCUUUUUGAUCUGCAGCGGUGGUUGUGACGGGAGUGGCUCACCCACCGUUAGCGUGGCCUCCCUUCCCUCCCCUUUUUAUCGGUGCACCGGGAGCUGUGGCCUGGUGGUGGCGGUGGUCCCCAUUUCCUGGUGCUGGGUUUUGUCUUCACAUCCUUAUUUUAUUAGAUUGCAGUGUCACGGUGUGUAGGUUGCUCCCUUUUCUUUUUUUCUUCCCACCUUCAGUACACCACAGCCCUGUUCGCUUUUGGGUUUGAUUCUGCAGGGCCCCAACGUACCUUGUUUGUAAUAGGCAACACGUUAGUGCUUAUGAUCAACUUUUAUUGUGUGCUUGUUUUUUUUCUUUUGUGAUUUAAUAAAAAUUGUUCUUUC